GACGAACGCUGGCGGCGUGCUUAACACAUGCAAGUCGAACGGAAAGGCCCUGCUUUUGUGGGGUGCUCGAGUGGCGAACGGGUGAGUAACACGUGAGUAACCUGCCCUUGACUUUGGGAUAACUUCAGGAAACUGGGGCUAAUACCGGAUAGGAGCUCCUGCUGCAUGGUGGGGGUUGGAAAGUUUCGGCGGUUGGGGAUGGACUCGCGGCUUAUCAGCUUGUUGGUGGGGUAGUGGCUUACCAAGGCUUUGACGGGUAGCCGGCCUGAGAGGGUGACCGGCCACAUUGGGACGGAGAUACGGCCCAGACUCCUACGGGAGGCAGCAGUGGGGAACAUUGCACAAGGGGCGGAAGCCUGAUGCAGCAACGCCGCGUGCGGGAUGACGGCCUUCGGGUUGUAAACCGCUUUCGCCUGUGACGAAGCGUGAGUGACGGUAAUGGGUAAAGAAGCACCGGCUAACUACGUG
rnacentral:rRNA from 1 species